GGGUGCAGCAGGCGCGAAAACUCCACAAUGUACGGAAGUACGAUGGGGUUAUCUCGAGUGCAGUCCGAUAAGGGCUGCUUUUCCAUAGAGUAAUAUCCUGUGGGAAUAAGAGGGGGGCAAGACUGGUGUCAGCCGCCGCGGUAACACCAGCCCCUCGAGUGGUGGGGACUAUUAUUUGGCCUAAAGCGUCCGUAGCUGGCUGUAUCCGUCCCCCGUUAAAUCCAGCGUCCUAAGCGUUGGACUGCGGGUGAUACCAUACAGCUAGAGGGUGGGAUAGGUGAGCGGUAUUUCUGGGGUAGGGGCGAAAUCCUUUGAUCCCAGGAGGACCACCAGUGGCGAAGGCUGCUCACUAGAACACGCCUGACGGUCAGGGACGAAAGCUGGGGCAGCGAACCGGAUUAGAUACCCGGGUAGUCCCAGCUGUAAACGAUGCUAGCUAGGUGUUGGGUCGGCCACGUGCCGCCCCAGUGCCGCAGGGAAGCCGUUAAGCUAGCCGCCUGGGGAGUACGGCCGCAAGGCUGAAACUUAAAGGAAUUGGC
rnacentral:rRNA from 1 species